rnacentral:tRNA from 1 species
GAGAUAUUAGUAAAAAUUACAUAACUUCGUCAAGGUUAAAUUAUAGGCUAAGCCCCUGUAUAUCUCU